UAAACAAUUCAAAUCCCAUUAAAAUAAGCAAGAAAGAGAUUUAAAAAUUUAGACUACAUGUGAGUUCAAUUGCAAUCCUAGAAAAAGAAAAUUUAGCCACUCAUAAUUGCAAAAACAAAUAACAUUAUAAUAAAUUUAACCAUUGAAAGUAACAAGAAANAAAACAAAUAACAUUAUAAUAAAUUUAACCAUUAAAAGUAACAAGAAAAUUAAAAGCUAAGGAAGAACACAAAAUAAUUAUUGCCGACUUGUUCUCCAAGUUUCAAUCUCAAUUUCUAAUUUCUUGAAUCUCUCAAAGGUUUUUUUUUUUUUAAUGUUGUCAAACAUAUCCUAUUUAUACUAAUAAGCUUAACCUAAAGUUCCUUCAGCUGACCUAGGGUUUAAUUGGGCUUAAAAGUGUAAUGAAAGGCCCAAAAAUUAAUUAUCAGUCUUUACAAAAUUCCAUUCCCGGCACAGUACGUCCAGCCAUUU
rnacentral:lncRNA from 1 species